GGUUUUAACAACAACCCAGAUAGGAAAUCAUUCAGAAUGACAUGAAGGUGAAUAAUUGUGUGAUCAACGGAGAACCUUGAAUAGCCUGAGAGUUACACUUGUAAAAAUUACAAUACAAAUACAUCCAUUACAAAUGUCUUGUAAAAGGAAAGGUUUAUUACCUUUGUUGUAUUUUGAACACCUUAUAUUUCUCAUGAUCACAUGAAAAUGUUCAAAUGAUUUUUUAGCAGCCUUGCUCCUAGGGAAACAUCUUUUUUUUAUAUAUAUAUUUUUUUUUAUCCAAAGGAAAGGCUAACUGGUUUCCACAUUCUUGACAAGGACACAGGAAAGAAUGUGAUACUAAAAAUUGUAAAAUGUUUAUUGUCAAUAUACCUCUUAUUUACAUCCCACUUCCUUUAUUCUUUCAGCAACCAAUGAAAGCAAGAGGCAUGUUUAGAUACAGCUAUCAUCCAUUUUUUGUGAAGCUCAACAGCUGCUCACUGCUACACAGAAACGCUAUUCGGACUGGAAAUAAAUGUUUUGACUGGAUUUGACAAACACAUUUAGCUAAUCAAAAUAUGAAUAUCUGAGAUUGAGGAUAGAAAGCAGAACUGCAACUUCUGUUCAUGUUAAAAAUUCAGCAAAUUCAGUAUCAGGAGAGUGGAACUGUAUCCUUACAUCACAGUCAUACACGACUACAAUGCUAGUUUGUGGCCAAUAUUCAUUCUGCCAUAGCUCUUUCUAGUUAGUGAGACAGUCACAGGAGAAGGUUGAAUAUCUGCACAUGAGAAGAGCAAGACACUUCUAGAGAAAACACGAAAACAGCUGUUGUAUUAAUUUACUUACAUGAAUAUGCACCAAUAUGUUUCCCCUCCAUUUCUCUGCAGGUUGCCUGCUACUAUCAAUGUGAACAGCAUAGGAUAAUAUGCCUUUUGGUGUCUUCAGUGCUUUUGCAGUAAUAAGAAACAGCACAUGCAGCCAGCCUUCAGAGCAAGCUAUGUAUUUCAUUCCUGCCAAUGAAGAGAGCAGUUGCUGUUUUCCACCCCUCAUGUUUACUGCCCAGAACUACCACUCACAAGCAGUAUGGGGACAAUGCAUAAGCAGUUAGUUAUCUACCUGAAGUACGUUCGCAUUCACAGUAAAGGACAAACAGUUGAACUCCUCUUGCAAGACGUCAUUUGGUUAACUGGUCCUUCUGUCUGGGAAGGAGAUGUCACCUUCUUUGGGGGUUUUAAAAAUCACAUUAGAAAACAUAAAUAGGAGUUCUUAAUCAGCAGAAUCUGCUUUGCACAAGUGCCAUAGCAUUAGAGGAAUUUUACAUCAGACUGCAGCUGUUACCUAAGCAGAAGCGGAAUUCCACCUAGCCACAAAGAACGAGGCACACGAAUAGCUGCGUUGUCUCAAGACCGGGUCGCUCGCAUCUCCUC
rnacentral:lncRNA from 1 species